rnacentral:piRNA from 1 species
UGUGCCUGUACCCCAANUUGCUAGUGAAG